GGGGGAUCGUGUGGAAGGGGACUUGGGCGGCACAAAACUCCUCGUACUCCUCCCACAAAGACCCUUAGGCCUUGGACUGGCGGAUAACACGUGGACAAGGACAGCAACAUUAGGAAGAAUUCAACGAGAAUCUUCGUGCAACGAACUCGAUCGUGCAGGUGCUGAAGAUCAUCAGACCUGAAGAAACACGCUACAGAUUAUAUGAGGAAUGGUUCACACGCCUUGGCACCCACUCUAAGAAAAACUGCGCAUAAGUGCUUGCUUAGUCCUGCCUAACUAUGAGUUACUGCAUGCCAGUCCAGCUUUUUUACGUGACGUAUCAAAUAUAAAUAAUCGCUCAACCUUUGCACUGCUUUGACAGGCUAUGAUUGUUCAACGAGAGAAAUCAUUAAUAUGGAAUUUGUGAUAGCUAUCCGUAGCAACUUGUGCGUGUAACAUUUUUGUUUCUGCUUUGUUAACGGUAAUGUAAUAAAUGAAUGAACUCCCACAGGAGUAAA